GAGUUUGAUCCUGACUUAGGAUAAACGUAGGUGGCAUGUUUAACACAUGCAAGUCAGACGAGAAAUGAUAUUUUCAGUGGUGAACAAGUGAGUAACGUGUACGAACUUGCCCUUGAGAGGGGAACAAUAACCGAAAAUGACUACUAAUACCCCAUAGGUUGAGGAGAAAAAAGAGGAAUUUGCAUGUGGAGAGGCUUGUGUCUGAUUAGUUAGUUAGUGAGGCAAUAAUUUACUAAGGCGAUGAUCAUUAGUUGAUCUGGGAGGAUGAUCAGUCAUAUUAAUUAGGACUGCGACAUGACCUAAACUCCUGCAAGAGGCAAUAAUAGGGAGUUUUUGCAACGAGUGAAAGCUUGACAGAGCAAUUUCACGUGGAGGUAGAAGGCCUACGAGUUGUGAACUUCUUUUCCUGGAGAAAAAGGCAAUGACGAUAUCUAAGGAAUAAGCAUCUGCUAACUUUGUGCCAACAGUCAUGAUAAUACAAAGGAUGCAAGUGUUAUCCAGAAUGAUUGGGUAUAAAGCGUAUAUAGGUGGCUUUUUAAGAUUGUUAUCAAAUCCCAGGGCUCAAACCUGGACAAGAGGUGGAAAUUGCCAAACUAGAGUACGGUAAGGGCAAAGGAAAUUUCUGGUAAAGCGGUGAAAUGCGUAGAGAUCGAAAAGAACACCAACGAUUAAAGCACUCUGCUAGACCAACAUUGACAUUGAGAUAUAAAAGCUAAGGGAGAGAAUAUGAUUAGAUACCCAGUAGUCCUAGGUAAUGUGUGUAUUGACAUGUGCAGUGUUGUAGCUAAUUCAUUAAGUAUCCCGUC
rnacentral:ncRNA from 1 species